rnacentral:rRNA from 1 species
UAGGGAAUCUUCCACAAUGGGCGCAAGCCUGAUGGAGCAACACCGCGUGAGUGAAGAAGGGUUUCGGCUCGUAAAGCUCUGUUGUUAAAGAAGAACACGUAUGAGAGUAACUGUUCAUACGUUGACGGUAUUUAACCAGAAAGUCACGGCUAACUACGUGCCAGCAGCCGCGGUAAUACGUAGGUGGCAAGCGUUAUCCGGAUUUAUUGGGCGUAAAGAGAGUGCAGGCGGUUUUCUAAGUCUGAUGUGAAAGCCUUCUUCUGCUUAACCGGAGAAGUGCAUCGGAAACUGGAUAACUUGAGUGCAGAAGAGGGUAGUGGAACUCCAUGUGUAGCGGUGGAAUGCGUAGAUAUAUGGAAGAACACCAGUGGCGAAGGCGGCUACCUGGUCUGCAACUGACGCUGAGACUCGAAAGCAUGGGUAGCGAACAGGAUUAGAUACCCUGGUAGUCCAUGCCGUAACGAUGAGUGCUAGGUGUUGGAGGGUUUCCGCCCUUCAGUGCCGGAGCUAACGCAUUAAGCACUCCGCCUGGGGAGUACGACCGCAAGGUU